GGGAUAUAGCUCAGCUGGGAGAGCGCUUGAAUGGCAUUCAAGAGGCCGUGGGUUCGAGUCCCAUUAUCUCC
rnacentral:tRNA from 3 species